AGUUUAAGAACCUGAAGGACACAUUCGCAAAGAUUCGAAACCAAAUUCGAACAAGCAUGAAGAGCGGAGCCGGUGCCGCAGACGUCGCCACUAUAAAAUGGAAACACUUUCUGUCAAUGCAAGCAAUAAUGGAGCCAAUUUCAGAAGAGCCAAUGUGAGUGGAGCAAUUUUCCAAAAUCUACACGAGCAUUUGUAGCCUUGCUUGUUAUAUGUUAUCCAUGCAAAAACCCAGGAGGGAACAAAACCUACACUCUCAAGUUAGUAACUUUUCAGAGUGCUCUCCUUAUGCGUAAAUAUAUUUUUGCAGGCUCUAUUCAAGCCUUGACUUCCUUCCUGAAGAAAAUCUCCAGGACCAAGAUGAGGUGCCGGGAACUUCUGGCUCCUCAGUUCCGUCAAGUCGCUCAGCAACACCAGCAGCUGCUGCAACUGAAAGCCAACCAACAGAAGAUGACUUAGAGUCUGACACAGAUAGGACUCCAAGGCGGAAAAAAGCACGGCGGUCACCAAGGAAACAACAGAGCCCAUUGAAAGCCCCUCAGCAUGCUGCUGUAACUGCUGCCUGUAUGGAGCACCUCCAGGCGGUGCGGACUGAGAGGCAGCAGAAGCAACAACUGCAGCGGGAGCCACAAGAUGUCGUAUACCAUACGUGCAUGGCACUUGCCGCACAGCUGCGAAUGCUUGAUCCGAGAGACCAGUCAGAGGCGAUAUUCGAAAUUCAAACAAUGAUGUAUCACCGACUCCAAGGAGCCAUGAAUGAACAAAAUUCUCACUAAUGUUUUAUAUGCUUACUUCAUCCACACAUAUUUCUUCUACUUUGCUGCACCACUGUAACACUAUACUUUUUACUUCUGUUUACCUGUUAU
rnacentral:lncRNA from 1 species